rnacentral:rRNA from 1 species
CAAUAGCGUAUAUUAAAGUUGUUGCAGUUAAAAAGCUCGUAGUUGGAUCUGUGGUGUGCGGUGGGCUCCGGGCACUUGUUGUCUGAGUAGCUCGCCGCUGCCAUCCUUGGGUGGAACCUGUGUGGCAUUAGGUUGUCGUGCAGGGGAUGCCCAUCGUUUACUGUGAAAAAAUUAGAGUGUUCAAAGCAGGCUUAUGCCGUUGAAUAUAUUAGCAUGGAAUAAUGAGAUAGGACUUUUUCGCUAUUCUGUUGGUUUGCGCGAAGAGGUAAUGAUUAAUAGGGACAGUUGGGGGUAUUCGUAUUCCAUUGUCAGAGGUGAAAUUCUUGGAUUUUUGGAAGACGAGCUACUGCGAAAGCAUUUACCAAGGAUGUUUUCAUUAA